rnacentral:precursor_RNA from 12 species
CGGCGGCUCCGCUCCCUCCGGGGCGGCGGGAGGGCCGGGAUGCGGUGCAGUGUUGUGCUCUCGCCCACCAAUAUUGCACUCGUCCCGGCCUCCCGCCACCGCGGGCUGCGCCGGUGGGACCGG